rnacentral:rRNA from 1 species
CAUAUUCGCCUCAGCGUCGGGA